rnacentral:rRNA from 1 species
UACAGGGGGGGCAAGCGUUGUUCGGAAUUACUGGGCGUAAAGGGCUCGUAGGCGGCCAACUAAGUCACACGUGAAAUCCCCAGGCUUAACCUGGGAACUGCGUGUGAUACUGGAUGGCUUGAAUUCGGGAGAGGGAUGCAGAAUUCCAGGUGUAGCGGUGAAAUGCGUAGAGAUCCGGAGGAAUACCAGUGGCGCAAGCGGCGCUCUGGGUCGAGCCUGACACUGAGACGCGAAGGCAUGGGGAGCGAACGGG